rnacentral:snRNA from 1 species
GGAUUAACGAGAUUCCCAC